UUAUAUUAUCUUAUACCUAUUUACAUAUCAGUCUCUAUUGGAAGCAGACACAACUUAGAUAUUGGGCGCUUAAUUGUCCCAUUUUUUGUUUUAAGCGUUAUUACCCUAACUAAAUUGUCCUGUCCCGGAUGGCCAGCACGAACUCUACCAUAUAGCUAGCGGCAGGGGGGUAAUCCGUCCUCCUUCACCAACACGACAUCGCCCACCUGUGGUUGAGGCUGCUGUGAUGACCACCUGUACCGAUUAUAGAACUUUGUUAAGUACUCACGAGACCAUACUUUCCAAAAAUCUUGCAGCAUUCUCUGAGUAUACUGCCAACGCCUUAAAGAACUAACAUUAUGAGACUCAUAAUUUUUAUCAGGAGCCGUGACAAUAGGCUCUCCCACAAGAAAAUGACCAGGAGUCAAAACAAAAUUCCCAUCUUGGUAUGUUAAUUGACUCCAACAGUUUCAGCUCCUCCCGGUAAGUAAACCACUCAUCCAAUAUAUUUGUCGGUACAGCUUCAUCCCAUUCAAUUCCUGCUAACCAUAGCUUCUGAAUUAGUAAUUUUGACUUCAUGAUGCUGGGUCCUACCCAGCCCAAUGGAUCAUAAAAUCGUGAAAUAUCACUAAUUAUUUUCCUUUUAGUUACAGGUUGUUCCAGCGUCGGGAGUUUGACAGCGUAACGGAAUGAAUCUUCACUGCGGUCCCAGUUUCAGGGUCAUCUCUCCAGAGUACCCGUUGAUAAUCCACAUCUGAUUCCGAGAUCUUCACUUGCCGAUACAUUUUGGCUAUGUCAGACGUGAGACAAACGGGGAGGCAUCGUACACUACCCGUACCUUCGUCGUUUCCCUGUCUUCUCGUAUGACUGCGUGAUGGGGUAAGUAUAUCGCCAAUGGAUUGUCAACUUGAUCAUCAGGUACAAGUUCCAUGUGAUUCAGAUCUAUGUAUUCUUGCAUCACUUCAGAGUACUUCUCUCUCAAGGCUUCAUUCUUCAUGAAUUUCCGUUCCAACGAAAGAAAUCUCCU